CUGCAUCGCAUCCCUGCUGUAGAGGCGGCGGGGGCUGACCCCCGCCGUGGGCACGGCGACGGGAUCCCCAGGGUGUGGAUGAGGCUGUGCCGUUGCCGUGGGACUGCCCCUCGGAAGCGGGGCAGAUUACCUGGGGAGGCUUUAAAUCUCGGCUUGCUUUGGCUCUCACCCUGCCCUGUGUCACCAGCAGGUCGGCCAGGCUGCAGCCCUUAACCCCGCUGAGUAACUUCGCUGAGCAUCGUUUUGUUUCCCUUCCCCGUGUAGGGCUGGGGACUGGGGACCGGCUCGUGUUUGAGUGUCAGACGAAGAGCUCUAAGUUAUUGCAACUGAAUAAUCGCUGAAGAACGUAAAUAUGUCAAAGCAGUGUCAAGAGAUUUCUUUGCAGGGAUACCCUUAUCUGAGUAGGCGUGUUUUUGACUGCCUGACUGAGUAUAGUCUCUCUCUGUAAGUAUUUGAUAACAGGAUGGAUUCCUUCCUUGCUGCCACCAGCCCCGAGAUUCCUGCUAACUUCGCUUUCUAGAUGGAGGCUGUUAGGCAGGGACAAGCUUGGGCAUGCUCUCUGCACUUGUUGGGGGGAUGGAAGAUGCCCCUUAAAGCUUGCUGAUGCUCAUCAAACUCUGGUGUUUGUCCUGAAAGCUGUUAGUGGUUUUUAUGUUUUUAAUGGAAAUUUCUUUCUCUUUUAAAUAUUUCUGAAUAUAUUGUGUUUAACGCUGUAGUAGCUGUCCACCCCUGAAAAUGUUUCUGAUUUUUGAAUACUCGGGUGCACAAAUAAAAGUUAUUUUAGGGUGCAAAGAUUUUCCUCCAGGAUACACAUUUUUUUUAACUGUCUUAAAUUCCUUUCCUGCAAUCUAGAAAAGAGACAAGCUUAAGUGUUUUUGUAAGACUACUAUACUUUUGGGUAUCAAAUGUUCUUGAAAGGGUAGAUCAAUGGAAAAGCAGGUGAAAAAUCAUCUGCUUGCUGUUGUCCUAAUUGACAUAUACUUUAAGGCCCGUUUAGCUUUUCUUGCAUUUCCAAAUGCAGAAGGCUCUUUGACUGAUUAGGUGAUAUGGCAGCUAAUGCUGCCUUUCAAGUGCAAAAAAGGGCUGUCAGUGGGAGCCAGGUGUGGGAUUUCAGACCUUAAACUCGGGUUGUAACAAAGGCGAUUUUAACCUGUGGCCAAGGAGAUCCCUGCACCAAGAAAGGCCCGCAGUGAGGCUUAGCUGCCUUCCCCAGAAUCGUGGAUGGUGCCACACAAAUUAGGAACUGGAAGAUCAUUAAAAAUGAGGCAUAAUUCAGCGUAUUUAAGAUGAAGAGGAUGUGGAUUUAAAAUUGGAUCAAUUGUUAUUACUAUCCUAUAUGAAUAAACUUCUGACAACUA